rnacentral:rRNA from 1 species
UAGGAUUCCCUAGUAGCGGCGAGCGAAAAGGGAAAAGUCCAGCACGUAGAAUUGCAACUAUUAUGGUUGUUAAUUGAUGCCGUGUACAGGUUCGGCCAUUAUCUCAUAUUAUAAUUAGUAUGUUCAAGUCCUUCUUGAAUGAGGCAAUAUACCCAUAGAGGGUGAUAGGCCCGUAUAACUGCUAUGAUAUAUGAGAGGUUGUUUCCUAGGAGUCGUGUUGCUUGAAAGUGCAGCACUAAGCGGGAGGUAAACUCCUUCUAAGACUAAAUAUUACCAUGAGACCGAUAGCGAACAAGUACCGUGAGGGAAAGUUGAAAAGCACUCUGAAUAGAGAGUCAAAAAGUACGUGAAACUGUCUAGGGUUAAAAAAGCCUGAAGUGUCUAAAUAUCUGAAUGGAGAAAUUCAUUAUCAUAUUGUUGUAAUAUUAUUAUUUAUAUGAAGCAUAUGGUAUGCACUUUUCUCCUUGUAAGACAUUGCGAUCCAUUAGAACCUUGUGUUAAUAACUACCAUGUUGUGAGUUAUUAUAUCUGUCAAUGGGCCCGGCAUGGAGCUUACAUAUUUAAUGUUAGUACUAUAUGUUGUUAAGGUGAUAUACAGGAAAACAAUGUAAACUGCUGGUGUCUCGUAUAGAUGUCUGAUGGAUUUUAUAUGAUCACAAUAUGACAUUUUAAUUAAUGUAACCAGAAAUGGUUUUUAUUGUAUUGUGUCAUGAUCAGCAAUGUAUUUGUUUAGUAAUCUUCAGGACCCGUCUUGAAACACGGACCAAGAAGUCUAUUUUAUGCGCGAGUCAAUGAGAUAUUUAUAAACCUCAGAGGCGUAAUUAACAUAACUGUUUAUUGGGAUUACAUAUUCUGUAUUAAUAGAGAAUAUUUCCAUCCCUGGGUAUCCAUUAAUCUUGUUUCGUUUUACGACGAUAAUAAGUGGGAUAUACCAUGAGCGCAUAAAAUGUGACCC